UACAGAGGAUGCAAGCGUUAUCCGGAAUGAUUGGGCGUAAAGCGUCUGUAGGUGGCUUUUUAAGUCCGCCGUCAAAUCCCAGGGCUCAACUCUGGACAGGCGGUGGAAACUACUAAGCUGGAGGAUGGUAGGGGCAGAGGGAAUUUCCGGUGGAGUGGUGAAAUGCGUAGAGAUCGGAAAGAACACCAACGGCGAAAGCACUCUGCUGGGCCGACACUGACACUGAGAGACGAAAGCUAGGAGAGCGAAUGGG
rnacentral:rRNA from 1 species